AGCUUUUGAGUUGAUUUCCUGGUGUGUACCAUGCGGUGCCUGUCUAUCUGGUGUGUACUGUGCGGUGCCUGUCUGCCUAUCUGGUGUAUACCAGGUGGUGCCUGUUUGUCUAACGAAAGACAACCAUGUGUUCUCAUAUGCUUAGUUCUGGCUUUCACUCAGACCCUUCCCCACUUGUGUGUUGUGUUAUUUUCACUGGUGAUUGCUGUUAUGGCCCAAUGCCCAGCUACCUGAGGUCACAUUUUUAUAUUUCAUUUAUCUUUGGACAGAAUGCUAAUUUCAUGGACUGACCAGGCCACAGGCCUAAGCAACUCACGCUGUAUGCAUGUGGUAGACCAUCAGAUUUCCCAUUAAGCAACCCUAAAGCACUCAGAAGCAGCCCUUAAAAUGUUUAAUUGCGAUGAAUACCAGAACAUGAGAACUGUAAUUCUCACUUUGAUCGUUUGAUGUUUAUUACUGUUUUAAGAUCGUCUGCCAGGUAGUUUCUCUUGGUCUUUAUUUUAGGAUAGCGGUUCUCAACCCAUGGGUUGAGACCCCAUUAGUGAUCAAAUGACCCUUUCACAGAGAUCACAUAUCCGAUAUCCUGCAUAUCAUAUAUUUAAAUACAUUACAUUUUAUGAAGCAGCAACAAGAAUAAUUUUAUUGUUGGGGGGGUCACCACAUCAUGAGGAACUCUGUCAAAGAGUUGCAACAUUAGGAAAGUUGAGAACCACUGUUAUAGGAUAUCAUGGUUUAUUUCAAGAUAUUAUUGGUAAUUUGCAUAGCUUUCUAUUCCUAAUAAAAUAUGUGGAGUUUCCAAUUUUUCCAGGAGAACAGAAACUUGCUUACGUGUCACCCGGGGGAAGUGUGAUUCUGAUUCAGUGUGUCUCAGCUGAGCGUGAAAUCCCACAUUUCUAUGCCACUGCUACCCAAUGACCAUACCACCAUUCUGUGGUCUACUGUGCUUAGUGGAAGCAUAGAUAAUUUUCAGAAUUAUCCCAUUCCUAGUGACUAAUGGAAGCGUGCAGAACAUUGUUUUCAUGAAGAAGUAAUGAAUACCCAUCAGCACUCCUUAAUAUCCUCUGCCCCAUCCCCCACUAUGCCUAUUUUCUUAUCUUUUGGGCCUAAAGCAAACAUACUCUUUGUCAAUACCAAAUAUAUUGUCAACACUAAGCUCAGGGCUAGCAACAGAUGAUAAUGUCCAUGCAUUCAGUCAAUCAGAUUACUACCAUAUCUCAGCUUUAUGUGAGGCCCAGAAGAAGCAACCUGAUACCCAUUACCCACCUGAUCCUGCCCCGUCUGCAUGAAUAACUGUUUAGUUUUGCUCAUCCCCGGAUUUCUGAAUGUGAAAUACGGAGAUUGGACCACUGCGUAUGUAUGGCCUUUCAGAUUUGGCUACUGCUCUCUGCUAUGGCCGCAAGAAGCCAGAAUGUCUUAGCUAGGAGCUCCAGGUCACUCACAUCUGGUGCAAAGGGUUAGACCUUGUUUGUAAACUCAUACUUAUGUGUGCUUCUCAGGUGUAUUCAAUAUAUUUGUGUUACGUCAUUUAUUUGAUAUGAUGUGUUUACAUAUUAAUCAAAUGGGUGUUUACAUAUAUCCAUGAAGGUAGCAGAAACCAUAUUUGUCAUUCCUUGAACCCCUACCCUCCUCUCUUACAGUGUACAAAACUCUGUGUGUGUGUGUGUGCGUGUGUGUGUGUGUGUGUGUGUGUAUGUGUCUGUGUGUGUGUUAGUUUUAGUUUUAGUGUUAGUGUUAGUUUCAGUGUGUGUCUGUGGGAAAGGCUAUGCAUGCAAGCUCCCACAUACUGCUCUCCUUUCUAGAAGCAGGACAUUUUGGCUCCUUGGCUGCUACCUCAGGUAUUUACCUACAUAUCUCUAAAUUAAAUGCUUAUGUUCUUAGGUUUUAUUUCAAAUUAAAAAAAAAAAAAAAACUAUUGCUUCAACUCUAAAAACUAGGAUUUAUUUUUGUCACAUUCUGCCCACAACAUGCCUACCUAUCCUUCCUGUCAUUUCUCCCUUUUAGUUACAGCACAGUUUAGGAUCAGUUAACAAUCUAAUGUGUGUGUUCUUAAGAUCAGACACAAGUCCACCUGACCUGUUAUUCCACCUGACCUAUUGCCUUAGUUAGGAUUUCUAUUGCUGAAAAACAAAACAAACAAACAAAAACACACCAUUACCAAAAAGCAAGUUGGGGAGGAAAGGGUUUAUUCAGCUUACACUUCCAAAUUGCUCUUCAUCACCAAAGGAAGUCAAGACAGGAACUGGAACAGGGCAAGGACGUGGAGGAAGGAGCCGAUGCAGAGGCCAUGGAGGGCUGUUACCUACUGGCUUGUUCCUCAUGGCUUGCUCAGCCUGAUUUCUUAUAGAACCCAGGACCACCAGCCCAGGGUUGGUUCCACCCACAAUGGGCUGGGCCCUCCUUGACUGAUCACUAAUUGAGAAAAUGUCUUACAGCUGGAUCUCAUGGAGGCAUUUUCUUAACUGGGGCUCCUUCCUCUCUGGUGACUAUAGCUUGUGUCAAGUUGACCCAAAACAAGCCAGUAUACCCAUGUAGCAUGUUUCAGUUACAUGAGACCUAUUACUGCUUAACAUAAAUAAGAACCGACUCUUUGUAUUCUCUGUGCAUGCGUGAAUGACUUCCACUUUUUUUUUAAAGAUUUAUUUAUUUAUUAUAUGUAAAUACACUGUGGCUGUCUUCAGACACACCAGAAGAGGGCGUCAGAUCUUGUUACGGGUGGUUGUGAGCCACCAUAUGGUUGCUGGGAUUUGAACUCAUGACCUUCAGAAGAGCAGUCGGUGCUUUUACCCUUUGAGCCAUCUCACCAGCCCGACUUCCACUUUUGUAGUGAUGGGCAUCAGGAUGUUUUGGAAUAUUUAGCUGAGGUCACACCGCUGCUCGUAACCUUCUUGUCCAUGUCUUCUGCAUAGGGUUUCUUUUUGGUGUGUGCAUGAGGGUGGACUUAGAAAAAUACAUGAGUGUUCACACUGACAAGACAAUGCCAAUCAUGGCCAGUAUGAUUGCCACAGGAUAAUGUCCUUCCAGCACUGUCUCAGAGAUCCUGUGGCUCUGAGACCUGUCAGCACUCAGUACAGUCUUUAAAAACUACUUGUUAGUUGAGAAGGAACAUGGCAGCAUAUUGUUGUUUAUCAACUAGUUGCGUUUCUUAUUCGAAAUGUCUGUGUCUUAUUUCAAGUUUCUAAUUUCCCUCCUUCUUCUUCUGUGUGUGCUUUUCCAUAUCAAGGUUAUUUACUCAUAAUAAUAGUUCAUGGUAGGAAUCCUAAAUACACAUUGCAAAUAUCUUUUCCCAGCUUGUAACUUGUUUCUCACUUUCUUAUGUGUUUUGUGACCAUACGUCUUCAUUUUAAUACAAAUAAUGCCUUUUUUUUUUUCCUGGUCAGUGUUGCAUGUAAUUCUGUGUACGAAAUCUUUCCUAACUGGGCCUGGUGGCACUUGCCUGUAAUCCCAGCCCUCAAGAGGUGUAGACAGAACGAUCAAGAGCUGGAGGCCUACCUUGAUUAGAUAGCAAGUCUAAGGCCAACCUGUGCUAUAUCAAGUUCUCAGAAACCAAACAAAAACUUUCUCUGUCCCAUGGCCCAGUAGAUAUUUGCUAGUCUUACCAAGAAUUGACGGUGUAGGAUUUUUUGGAAGUCUGCUCAGUUGAUUUCUUCAUAAGGUACGGAGAGAAGAUUUUUUUCUUCUUCACCAUAUACGAACGACUUUAUUAUGCUUGAUGACUGGCCCACCCUUCACUCACUGAUCCCGCAGAUCCUGCUGUCUCCUGCUCUACACGCAUGGGAAUAUUUCAUUCACUUGUUUAUUUCAUUGCUUCUACUCUUGCUCCAAAACUAUAAUUUUCAUUAUUAUAGAUUGAAAAUACAUCACAAUGUUUGGAUAGUCAACUCUCUUUAAUCAUUUUCAAUCAGACAAAAAAGAAAGUUAACACUUUUCAAUAAUGAGAGAAUACUUCUUGGGUUUUUAUUCCUCCAUAUAAAUUUAGAUCAUCUAACCAAGUUCAGUACAAACGUUUUCAUAAUUUAUAAGAUUUUCAUUGGAUUUAUGUAUAGGUCAGUUCAGGAAGAAUUACAUUUUUAUAAUAUGAAAUCUUCUCACCUAUGAAUAUGGUCUGUCUUUCCAAUUAUUAAGCCUUUUUGAAACUAAAGAAAUAGAUACUUUCUGUUCUGACACCUUAAAUUCUCUUUAAUAAAGCUUCUUUGUUAGUUGCUGCUGGAGAAAAAUGCAACUACCUACCUACCUAAGCCCUUGUAACCUCUUCCUGUAUGGGGCUCCAACCCAGAGCUUAUGCAUGCUAGACAGUGCUCUACCGCCCUGUUUCAUAACCAGAGGCUCUUACACCCACCUUACCAUUGCUGAUAUUACCUCUGUAAUUUCUUAUAGUUGUCUGCAGAGUACCAAAGAUUCGUUAAGGAUUUUUUUUUUUCCUUUUUUUGGACAAGGUUUUUCUAUGUAGCUCUGGCUAUCUUGGAACUCACAGUUUGCUCCUUCCCCUGCCUCCCAGAGGCUAGGAUUAAAGGCAUCCACCACCAUGCCUGGCUCUUUAGAGACUUUUAAACAAUAAUAUCUUCUGCUAAGUGCAGUGGCUUGAUUUACUUCUUUCCAAUCCCAUGCUUCUGGUUUCUGUCUCUGUUUCCUUUGUACCUGAUCGGUGUUUGAAUACAGAGAGGAUUAGAAACCACAGUGGUUAGAACCCCUAGCUCAUUUCUCAGAUUGAGUAGACUAUUUCAACAAUUUCCCUGCUCGGAGUGGUGUUAAUUAUAUGUCUUAUCUAAUCAUUUAUAGAAUUAGUAGUGUUCCCUUCUAUUAAUAAUUUACAAAGAACUUUGAUCUUAAAUGGACCUUUAAUUCCAUCACAUGAUUUUUCUUCAUUGCCAAAAUAACUUUGUCACGUUAUCUUGUUCCAUUAAUGAAUCAGUGCAGUACAUUAGAGAUUUGCAAAAAGUUGAAUCAUCCUUGCAUAGCCUAUAAGCCAAGCAGGUUGAGGCUUUGGUGUCUCUCAUCAACUGUUCCCGGAUUCAUCCUCCCACAUCCCACUCAAACAUCCCACAGAACAGAGAAAUGACGCAUCUACACACUCAGUUCACAGCAGUGCCUCUUCACCAUCAAGCGGUCCAGAGCCCUGCCUGGAUCAGUCACUCGGAAGGAGGUCGGGCGUGGCAAGUCGCAGCAGGCUCUGAGGAGCCCAGGGCCUGACUGUCACUUAGUAGCACUUGCUAAUGACAUCACUGUGCCUCAGCCUCCUGAUCUGUAAAAUGGGAUGAUAACUGUGCCUUCUUCAUAAGGUCCCUGUGAAGAUGGCAGGGAAUGUACUCAGGAGCGUGCCUUGUCUGUACUGCCUCGGUAUUUGCUGUCGUCAUUUCCGUUACGGCUUUUAUUUGCUUCCAUCUAGUGCUGAUUAUAGCACAUGAAAAAUUAAAACACAACAAAACACUGCUGAUUAAAUGUCCCCUGGGCACUGAAACUUUUGAUUUUUGUUGUGGAGAGACUUAUUUUAGACUUGUUUGGACGUAUUCAUUUUAUAUGAUGUUUUAUCCAUUCUUUGAGAAUGUCACACAAAUUAUUUGGAUCGUAUCCACCCCCUCCUUCUCUCCGUAGCUCCUUUCAGGGCUGCCUCCCACCUCUCACCCUCUCCCAAAUUCCUGUUUUGCCGCUGUUGUUUAAUAAUCCAGAGUUCAAUGUGUGCUGCCCAUGUGCUCAUGGUGGGAGGGGCAUCCAGUGGAGUGUGCUUAACCCACCUAGGCCAAGUCCGUAACAAAAAUUGACUGUCUUUCUCACUCACGCACCUGUCUCAAUCCACGCUACAAUGUUGACUGGCUUGAUCAUAUGCAGGUUGUAUGUAAAAGCAACAGCAUUGCUGUGAGUUCAUGAAUCCAACCGUCCUGUCACAGACCUGUCAUAUGUGUCUCUAGCACUAGCAAAACAAACAAACAAAAACAAGAAAUGCUUUGGUGAAAGUCUCUCCUGGAACUUGUCACAUCAGAGUUGAAAUCUCCUACCUACCCUGUCUAUAACACCAGUGCUCUGCUUGUCCCCAUAGUGAUAAUGUCUUAGUCAGGGUUUCUAUUCCUGCACAAAACAUCAUGAAGCAAGUUGGGGAGGAAAGGGUUUAUUCAGCUUACUCUUCCACAAUGCUGUUCAUCACCAAAGGAAGUCGGGACUGGAACUCAAGCAGGUCAGGAAGCAGGAGCUGAUACAGAGACCACGGAGGGAUGUUACUUACUGGCUUGCUUCCCCUGGCUUGCUCAGCUUGCUUUCUUAUAGAACCAAGACUACCAGCCCAGAGAUGGUCCCACCCACAAGGGGCUCUCCAACCCUUGAUCACUAAUUGAGAAAAUGCCUUACAGCCGGAUCUCAUGGAGACAUUUCCUCAAGGGAGGCUCCUUUCUGUGUGAUGACUCCAGCCUGUGUCAAGUUAACACACAAAACCAGCCAGUAGAGACAACCUCACUGGGUGGGUGCUGGAAGAGUAACCAGUGCUCUUAACCACUGAGCCAUCUCCUCGGCCGCCAGAAAUUAAUCUCAAAAGGGCUGCUUUUAAGGCAAUCUUACUAUGAAACCAAACCUAAGUAGCAACCUCUAAAUGUUUCUCAGUAUGACCACAAGAGAAGUGAAUGCUAUGGUUUUUUUUUUUAUUUUGAAAAGUAUAAAACAACAUGAAUUAAAAUAUUCACCUUGGAGUUAGAGUGGAGCUCAAAGUUGGUAUGUGUGAGGCUCUGGGUUCUGUCCAAUCACCAAAAAGAAAAGACAGACAAACAAAUCCUACUAACCUAGUUAUUCUAAAACACACACACACACUACUGACAUUCUCAGCCAUAUUUUCAUCGGAACCUCUUAGGCACCUAACAAAAGAAUGCUUCCUCCUUUACCGUGCGCAGCUCUAGUAGCUGUUAGCAGGAGAAAAAAGUUUCAGUUGUGUCGGGGACUGAGCGGAGAAAUUAGGAUGGCUGGCUUUGAAAAAUAGUUAAGUUUUUGCCAGUUGCCUAGGGGCUCUGAUUUACCGCAGGCACGUGGAGAAGUGUAGGCUUGAGAUCAGGAGAGAUGUCUGGGGGUGAGUGGGAGAGCUUGUCCACGGAACUGUUCACCCACAGGGAGGCGGGUUCCCAGCUGCCUACGGUUCAUCUCCCACUGUCCACAGCAACGUGCCAAAGGCAGAGCUCAGGCUGAUUCGGGUGUGAGUCACACUCCCGCUUCGGUGCGGUCUGAGUCAGAUGGCAGCUGUCGAACACUGAGCCCCACUCACCUUCCCUCCAACGCACAGGCUCUACCGCCAACUCUCAUCCUCUCUCCUUUGCCUUGUCUAGUUCUUACCAAGUGCCCACACAUGACAACUCAGAGGCAUUCGAGGGAGACGAGUCUAAAGUCAACUUGAUGCCUUCCACCAAGAACUGUUUAAGUCUGUUUCUUCCCAUCUUACCUAAACAUUUGAGAUUACUCAUUUUCUCUAUUUUUGUGGGGUAGGGAGCACAUGUGUGCCACGGCACAUGCGCAAAGGUCAGAAGACAACUUGAGUCGGCUCUUUCCGUUAUGGUGAGCCCUGGGAUUGAAAUUAGCUCAUCAGGCGCAGCAGAAGGGGACCUUUCCUGCCGAGCUAUUGAGCUGGCAUUUUUAUGCAUAAAAUUGGAGUCACACUGCAGCUACUCUUUGUUGACCCUUUUUUUACUUAAGACUGUAUCAGGCCAUUUCAGCCAUUUUCUCAGCUAUUCCAAUGUGUGUGUGUGUGUGUGUGUGUGUGUGCAUACCUGUGCGUUUGCUAGCUGAGUAACUCAUCAUAUUUCAUCUUUUAUUCUUAAGCAUUUUAGUUUCCAGAUUUUUGUUUCGUUUUGGUUUUAUUUUGCUUGUGUUUUCAUCUUCUCUUUUAUUCUCAUUUAUGAAUUCAUUUUACCCUUCUGAAAGUGUCCUAGCCCCUCAGGAGGGAGGACACAUACCACUGUGACUUUGUGCAGUUGUACCUGUCUGGGACUUUGUUUUUCCUACAUAAAGCAAGGUCCCCACUCAUAAGUAAGGUGGGCAAAGUGCCUGGCACACAACGGAUGCUAUCAGACGGCAACUUUUUAUUUCAUAAGUAGGCUGCUUGGAAAUCGUCAGAACUCAAUUAAGAUGAAAAUAGAUCACAUUUGACCUCUAGCUAUCUUAUGCCUACUAUCCUAAGAGGGCUCGUUCUUGCCUUCCAUUCAUACUGAAGAGUAUUCCUCUUGAAAAUACAUUUUGCAGACAUUAAAAUCCUGUAAUUCCGAAUUCAAUUACAGGGAAGUGGUCAUCAGUGAAAGAAAUUGGCACUGAUGUGGAAUGAGAACCAACAGCUGUCUGAGGAAUGCAAGUAUUUAUAGCUCUCUGGAGCCCAGGUUAGGAAGCGGGCUGACACUUCUCCAGAGGAAAGCUCGUGGGUGGCCGACCUACCUACUGGCUGCUUAGUCACAGAGACUGUAUGGCCAUGAGGUCUUGGAAGCCUGUCAGCUGAGCGCUGAACACGUACAGAAAGAAGAAUUGAGAACUAGCCUUAGAGCAGAAAUGGGGACUGUGUAUUUGCUAUAGAGAAGAAAACCCAGGCACAGCUGUUCACAGGCCCACUGCCUGUAGUGCUAUUUCCUCUUCUCUUAAGAUGCCAGGUCAGACGUAUAGAAAGAAAGAAAGAAAGAAAGAAAGAAAGAAAGAAAGAAAGAAAGAAAGAAAGAAAGAAAGAAAGAAAGAAAAGAAAGAAAGAAAGAAAGAAAGGAAGGAAGGAAGGAAGGAAGGAAGGAAGAAAGAAAAGAAAGGAAGAAAGAAAGAAAGAAAGAAAGAAAGAAAGAAAGAAAGAAAGAAAGAAAGAAAGAAAGAAAGAAAGAGAAAGCAAGCAAGCCAGGGCAGGACAAGACACAAAGUGACCUGUUGCCCCCAUCCGACUACUCACUUUUUGGCACGUAGUUAGAAAUACCAGUUAGCUUUUCUGGCCACAUGACUUCCAAAGGAGGAUGGACCUCUGGGCUCUCUUCUGGAUUCACCCAUCUGCCCGCCCCACUUCCUUUCAUUUGAAGCUCUCUGCUUUAACAUUCCUGGCUGGCACCUUACUUUAGUAAUGUCCAGGUAGCAAAGGUGUUUGAUGGAAUAGGGAGCAUUCACCAAGUGUUUUUGAGCUCCCUUCCAAUGUGUGUAAUUACACACAGUGUCGGAUGACUCAGAACUUGUGACCUGCCGGAAGACCUCGGUUUUAUUCCUCCAUCAACUGCCGUGCCUCCACUAACAACGGUUAAGCACCAUAAAAUGCCUGCAUGGUCCAACAAAGAACUGCAAUGAGUGAACGCAUCCAAAUAAAAACCAGUAGACCGUAGUCGGACUGUAGCAAAUUAGAAAGUGUGUUGCCUGUUGCCUGCUCCUGGAAGGAAGGAAGGAAGGAAGGAAGGAAGGAAGGAAGGAAGGAAGGAAUCAAACAAUCCUUAUCUUGCAUACAUACUUAGGAAAAUCUUUUAUGGUGCUUUUGUGUGAUGAAGCCAUGUGUUGAACCAGCAACAUUUGCAGCUGGUGAGUAGACAGAAUGAUUUUUUUUUAAGUCCAAUAGAGUGGUUUCCUGUUUCUUGACUAGACCUCGAAGCAAGAGGAAGGUUAUACACUCUUGUGAGAAUAGAAGAAGCUGUAGCAUUGUGUUUACAUCCGUAACGAAUGUGGAGAAGUAGAAACCAUGUUCCUCUCUCAUUUUUUAAAAGAGCAGUAGGCAUUUGUGUAGUUCUUGAGGUAAAUGAUCUACAAGGCACAGUAAAUGGGGAAGAGAAAGAGGCAGAGUUUGUGGGCUGCAGGAGUAUUUUAUAAUUCUCUACGAAGCAAUAGUAACCUACCACCAUACCACAUGAUGUGUAGCUAAAGCUCACCCAAACUGAGUUGUCCUCACAGUCAUCACAACAUAGUCCCAGAAAAAUGAAGAGCACUUCUACAUACCCUUGGGUAGUUAUAAUCCAUAGUUGAUACUCUAUCCCCUUUGAAAUCAAUAUGAAACAGAAAAAUGGCAUGAAAAAUAUGAGUGAUUAUUCAUUAUGUAUAAAGCCUUUGAAUAAUGCAUCAAAGAUCCAUUCAGAUAAAUGGAAAUAAUGUAUUCUAACAGCUUAGCCACAAACUGUUGGGGAUGUUGAGUUAUGAAAGGCACUGCGGGACUGUGGCUCUCGAGCCACAAUGGCUGUAGACAGUUAAUGAGCAAUAUAAGCUGGGAACCCAUAGGCAUCCGGAAGGUCCCUCUUGCUCUGUUUCCUGGCCCUACAGUUGCCUUGAAAUUAUGAACAAUGAUAGGAGGCAUGAGCCCUGUAAAAUUAUGCUGCCAAACACAGGUAGGAUCUGGUAAAUUAAAACAGAGCUCUCAUGUGUUCCUAGGCUUUGGUUCUGAGCUCUGAGAUGAACUGACAUGGAGAGCCAUCAGAGAGUGAUGGCAGAGUCAAGGCUCGAAAGAGUGUGGAAUCUUAAAAGAAUCUUAGAAAUGGGUCAGAGAGAUAGGUCAGUGAGUUAGGAUGCUUGCUGUGCAAGCGUGAGAACCUGAGUCGAGUUCAAGUCCCUAGGAUCCACACAAAAGUUGGGCAUGUCAACAAUGUCUCUAACCUCAGGAUUGGAGGCAUGAAGACUGGUAGAUCCUGAAGUUCACUGGUCAGACAGCCUAGCCAAAACUUCAAGUUCAGUGAAAGACCCUGUCUCAAAAGAAUAAAAUGGAUAGAGUUAAGGAAAAAUCUCCUCUGACCUACAAGUGUAGAUUCAUAUACUGCGUGUGCGUGCGUGCGCGCGGGCACACACACACACACACACACACACACAUUAAAUAUUCAUACAUUGCCUAAGCCAUAUUCUCAUUUCUAGAACUAGAAAACAAGAAGGAACUUUCAGAGCUGCCCUCAGACCAGACUUUAAUCAGCCCAACCUAAGACCAAGGACACAAGCCUGAUUUUUUUUUUUUAAGAUUUAUUUAUUAUAUGUAAGUACACUGUAGCUGUCUUAAGACUCUCCAGAAGAGGGCAUCAGAUCUCAUUACAGAUGGUUGUGAGCCACGUUGCUGGGGUUUGAACUCAGGACCUUCAGAAGUGCAGUCAGUGCUCUUAACCACUGAGCCAUCUCGCCAGGCCCCACAAGCCUGACUUAUGAUCUUUUCCACCCUCCUGGAAGUUACCAGAAAACUUAAAACCAUGACGUUGCUUAUGUCUGGCGAACACAAGUCUUGUUUCUGCAUUUUUUAAAAAAAAA